CAGUAGCCGCGGUAAUACGUAGGUCCCGAGCGUUGUCCGGAUUUAUUGGGCGUAAAGCGAGCGCAGGCGGUUAGAUAAGCCUGAAGUUAAAGGCUGUGGCUUAACCAUAGUACGCUUUGGAAACUGUUUAACUUGAGUGCAAGAGGGGAGAGUGGAAUUCCAUGUGUAGCGGUGAAAUGCGUAGAUAUAUGGAGGAACACCGGUGGCGAAAGCGGCUCUCUGGCUUGUAACUGACGCUGAGGCUCGAAAGCGUGGGGAGCAAACAGGAUUAGAUACCCCAGUAGUCCCUGUCUCUUAUACA
rnacentral:rRNA from 1 species